AGAUAUAUAGUUCAGUGGCUAGAACAUAAAGUUAUCUAGUAUGUAGCAAAAACAAUAGGACAUACAUUAAUAGACUGAAUUAUGCUAUCGAGCAGAGACACAGGUUCGAAUCCUGUUAUAUCUA
rnacentral:tRNA from 1 species